UACAGAGGGGGGCAAGCGUUGUUCGGAAUUACUGGGCGUAAAGGGCGCGUAGGCGGCCUGUUAAGUCGGACGUGAAAUCCCUCGGCUCAACCGGGGAACUGCGUCCGAUACUGGCGGGCUUGAAUUCGGGAGAGGGAUGUGGAAUUCCAGGUGUAGCGGUGAAAUGCGUAGAUAUCUGGAGGAACACCGGUGGCGAAGGCGGCAUCCUGGACCGACGUUGACGCUGAGGCGCGAAAGCCAGGGGAGCAAACGGGG
rnacentral:rRNA from 1 species